AUCCAGCUGACGAGUCCUAAAUAGGACGAAACGCGCGUCGUGAAU
rnacentral:hammerhead_ribozyme from 1 species